rnacentral:rRNA from 1 species
GCCUACGGGGGGCAGCAGUGGGGAAUAUUGCACAAUGGGGGAAACCCUGAUGCGGCAACGCCGCGUGAGUGAAGAAGUAUUUCGGUAUGUAAAGCUCUAUCAGCAGGGAAGAAGAUGACGGUACCUGGAUAAGAAGCCUCGGCUAACUACGUGCCAGCAGCCGCGGUAAUACGUAGGGGGCAAGCGUUAUCCGGAUUUACUGGGUGUAAAGGGAGCGCAGACGGCAGUGCAAGUCUGGAGUGAAAGCCCG